rnacentral:rRNA from 1 species
CAGUAGCCACGGGAAUACGGAGGAUCCAAGCGUUAUCCGGAAUCAUUGGGUUUAAAGGGUCCGUAGGCGGUCUUGUAAGUCAGUGGUGAAAGCCCAUCGCUCAACGGUGGAACGGCCAUUGAUACUGCAGGACUUGAAUUAUUGGGAAGUAACUAGAAUAUGUAGUGUAGCGGUGAAAUGCUUAGAGAUUACAUGGAAUACCAAUUGCGAAGGCAGGUUACUACCAAUUGAUUGACGCUGAUGGACGAAAGCGUGGGUAGCGAACAGGAUUAGAUACCCGGGUAGUCCCUGUCUCUUAUAC